rnacentral:rRNA from 1 species
AUCGAUAACCCACGUUNNNUUUUCCUUUAAUCUAAAAUUUAUAUACCGCCAUCUUAAGAGUCAAUUUAAAAAUAUUCCUCCCAAUAAUUAAUAAAAAGUUAGGUCAAGGUGUAAUCUAUAUUAAAGAAUCAGAUGAAUUACAUUAAAUAAUAUUUAAGGCUUAUUUAUAUAAAUAUAAAUACAAAUAAGGAUUUAAAAGUAAUACAUAAACAAUAAUUAUAUAUGAUAAAGAUAAUAAAUGUGCACACAUCGCCC